GAUGAAGAACGUAGCGAAAUGCGAUAAGUAAUGUGAAUUGCAGAAUUCAGUGAAUCAUCGAAUCUUUGAACGCACAUUGCGCCCCCUGGUAUUCCGGGGGGCAUGCCUGUUCGAGCGUCAUUUCACCACUCAAGCCUCGCUUGGUAUUGGCCAACGCGGUCCGCCGCGUGCCUCAAAUCGACCGGCUGGGUCUUCUGUCCCCUAAGCGUUGUGGAAACUUUCGCUAAAGGGUGUUCGGGAGGCUACGCCGUAAAACAACCCCAUUUCUAAGGUUGACCUCGGAUCAGGUAGGGAUACCCGCUGAACUUAAGCAUAUCAAUAAGCGGAGGA
rnacentral:misc_RNA from 1 species